CGGGGCGUGGCUCAGCUUGGUAGAGCGCUGCGUUCGGGUCGCAGAGGUCGUGGGUUCGAAUCCCGCCGCCCCGA
rnacentral:tRNA from 1 species